GAGGAAUCAAACGUGCCACACAGUGCAAUCUUCUCUCUGUUUUCUCCACAGUGGAGACUCCCAAGCCCUCCAUCUCCAGCAGUAAUUUAAACCCCAGGGAGGCCACGGAGACUGUGGUCUUAUCCUGUGAUCCUGACACUCCGAAUGCAAGCUACCUGUGGUGGGUAAAUGGUCAGAGCCUCCCUAUCAGUCCCAGGUUGCAGCUGUCCGAAAACAACAGGACCCUCAUUCUAUUUGGUGUCACACAGUAUACUGCAGGACCCUAUGAAUGUGAAAUGAAGAGCCCAGUGAGUUCCAGCCGCAGUGACCCAGUCAUCCUGAAUCCCAUCUGUGAGUAUCUUCUGUUCCUCUGUGAGCCAGGCUGCCAUCUCAAAUACAUAUGGCUAGAGGCCAGGCCUCCCUGUCCCUCUCAGGGGCAAGUACAAAGACCUUUACCCCUGCACAUCAAAGCUGGCCAUGACUACAAAGAAUAUGUUGUGACUAGGCUCACAGGAUCACUGUGGCCUUUCCACAGACCAGGAUUUUCCCUUCCCUCUGACAACAUCAGCUGUGACUUUAUUCUCUUUGCUCCAGAUGGCCUAGAUACCCCCACCAUUUCUUCUUCAUACACCUAUUACCAUGCAGGGGAAGUCCCCAAGCUAUCCUGCCUCACAGACUCUCACCUACUGCCAGAGCUUUCUUGGCUGAUUGAUGCGAAGUUCCAGUAAUCCAGAUAAAGAACAAAGUGUUCUUUAACCCCCAAAUCACUAAAACAUAUGGAGGGGUCUAUGUCUGUUUCAUGCAUAACUCAGCCACUGGUGGAACAAAUCUCAUAAUCCAGAGGAUCAUAGUCCCUGGUAAGUGGAUCCCUGGAGCAUUGCCAAUACGUUUUCCAGUGAAGUCUCUCUGGCUAUCAGGGAACAGCCACCUGCCCUCUGCAAAGGGAGAGGGAAAAUCAAAAACCCAGGACAGGGAAUAUGUUUCUGCUCCAAAACCACCAGCUUUUGCCUGUCGCCUUCACUCCUACAUCAUUCUUUAGACUAUAAAGUAACAAUGAACAAUCUGAAAGGAAAUUAAGAAAAGAAUUUCCAAUCACAUUAACAUCAAAAGGAAUAAAAUAUUUUGGAAUAAGUUUAACCAAAAAGGUCUAAGGGUUAUAUCAUGAAAACUACAAAACAUUACUGAAAGAAAUUAAAGACGACAUCAUUAUAUGGAAAGAAAAUUCACUUUCACGGAUUGGAAGAAUCAAUAUUGUUAGGAAGAUAAUAUUACUCAAAGUGAGCUGCAGAUUCAACACAACCCCUACCAGAAUCCCAGUAACAUUUUUUGCAGAAUUACAAAAAUCUGUCCUAAAUCUGACCUGACAGGCUCUUAUUGAUGACUGCUACAACAGAGACACUGAGGAAAAGAUGCAACCAUGAAAAGGUGGAAAGUGUUGAUGACAUAGAAAAUAGCAGUCAUUAUUUCUCACAUCCCAAAACCUUCAAAAAUAUACAAGUGCAGCAUGGCCAGUAUGGAAUUGACCAAAAACUAGUCACCAAGCUAGAAACAUGGUGAGAGAGAGAAAAAGGAAAAGAACGUAUUUGGCCUACCACCUCCCACUUUUGUGUACUAAUCUGAUGCUGAAAAGAAAUGCUCACUGGAGCAUUAUAGAUUUUGAAUCUUUCAGAUUUGGGACGUUAAACCAGUAAGUAUGUGACAAAUAUUUCAGAAUCAAAAAAUGUCAGAAAUCCAAAACACUUUUUGUCCUAAGUCUUAUGCAUAAGAAAUACUCAAUCUGUGUGAACUGUAGGCAUCAAGCUGUAUAUAAUAUCUUGCAUAACUGAAACUGCACACCCAUGAACAACUUCUGAUUCUCCCCACUCCCAGCUCCUGGCAACCAGCAGUCUCUUCUCAGAUUCACUCUGGAAUCCACUUCCAUGAGGUCCCUAGAGUAGUCAAACCCAUGGAAUCGGAGAGUAGAGUGUAAAAUAGAAGAAAAUAUUUCCAAAACUUCUCCCAAAAUUUGUCUCAUUUCCAUCAAACAUACCUGGUCCAACGAGGACCAGAUUUCUAGCAGUUCAUUCCCACCCUUUCCACCAGUCAGUUCUGCAUUUGCAAAUAUCCA